rnacentral:rRNA from 1 species
AGUGAACGCUGGCGGCAGGCCUAACACAUGCAAGUCGAGCGGCAGCGGGUCCUUCGGGAUGCCGGCGAGCGGCGGACGGGUGAGGAAUGCAUCGGAAUCUGCCCUGUCGUGGGGGAUAACCUAGGGAAACUUAGGCUAAUACCGCAUACGACCCACGGGUGAAAGCGGGGGAUCGCAAGACCUCGCGCGAUAGGAUGAGCCGAUGUCCGAUUAGCUAGUUGGCGGGGUAAAGGCCCACCAAGGCGAGGAUCGGUAGCUGGUCUGAGAGGAUGAUAGGCCACACUGGGACUGAAACACGGCCCAGACUCCUACGGGAGGCAGCAGUGGGGAAUAUUGGACAAUGGGCGCAAGCCUGAUCCAGCCAUGCCGCGUGGGUGAAGAAGGCCUUCGGGUUGUAAAGCCCUUUUGUCCGGGAAGAAAUCGUCUGGGCUAAUACCCCGGGCGGAUGACGGUACCGGAAGAAUAAGCACCGGCUAACUUCGUG